rnacentral:rRNA from 1 species
AUUGAACGCUGGCGGCAUGCCUUACACAUGCAAGUCGAACGGCAGCACGGGGGCAACCCUGGUGGCGAGUGGCGAACGGGUGAGUAAUACAUCGGAACGUGUCCUGUAGUGGGGGAUAGCCCGGCGAAAGCCGGAUUAAUACCGCAUACGCUCUACGGAGGAAAGGGGGGGAUCUUAGGACCUCCCGCUACAGGGGCGGCCGAUGGCAGAUUAGCUAGUUGGUGGGGUAAAGGCCUACCAAGGCGACGAUCUGUAGCUGGUCUGAGAGGACGACCAGCCACACUGGGACUGAGACACGGCCCAGACUCCUACGGGAGGCAGCAGUGGGGAAUUUUGGACAAAUGGGGCGAAAAGCCCUGAUCCAGCAAAUGCCCGCGUGUGUGAAAGAAAGGGCCCUU